UUUGUAUCUGAUAUAAAGAUUUAGUUAAAAUAUUGAGUACAGCACAGUAAAAGGCUGAUUCUAUCUGUUGAGAGAGAGGGAAUAUUUGUUUUUCUUGCUAUUGACCACUUCAAUUAUUGAAAGUUAAAUCCCCCCAUAUAUAUCUUUAGAAACCAGUGUGCAUAUGUUGUGGAGAAGACUGUUUCAUUCACUGUUCAGGAUGGAGCAGCUCCAUUCAUGAAAGCAGAAUACAACAAGUGUGCUUGGGGACAGAAAUGCCCAACUAUAAAGUAUCGCAUGUACUACAAACCCAUGUAUAAAGUUGCAUAUAAGACUCUGACAGAGCUGGAGUGGAAAUGUUGUCCUGGAUAUGCAGGUGUUGGUUGUACUGCAGCAUAUGGAAUGAAAGCAAGGCCCCUAUUCAAAGAACCACCGUCUCCUCAAAAGGGUCCUAUGCCUCGUUUUAAAGGGCCCGUGCCAAUGCAGAAGGGUCCUAUGCCUCAUUUUAAAGGGCCCAUGCCAAUGCAGAAGGGUCCAAUGCCUCCUUUUAAAAGACCUAUGUCUGCACAGAAGGGUCCUAUGCCUUCCUUUAAAGGCCCUAUGUCUGCACAGAAGAGUCCUGUGCCUUCUUUUAAACGUCCCAUGCCUAUGCAGAAGGGCCCAAUGCCUUCAUUUAAAGGUCCCAAUCCCUCUCAAAAGGGUCCAGUGCCUUUAAUUAAAAAAACCAGUUUCCACAUCCCAUCUUCAAUGGAAUCCCCUGGAAUCAACCUCAAGCAGCAUCUAAUGGCAUGAAUGAAUACCCAAGCCCUAAUACUGGGGCCUCUUCCCAAGAUACCUCAGUUGAACCUUAUCCAGACCAACAGGAACCCGAAGUAGAUUAUGCUGAACUGGUGCCAGAGCCUCAAGAUCUAGGCCAUGAUUUAAUCCCAGAAGACAAUGAGCCAAUCACAGACUACCAGGAUCCUCAGCCAGAUCAUCAAAGUUCUAUACUAGAACAUAGUGAGACAGAGCCUGUUCCCAAUGCACAGGUGCCCUCUGGUGGUAGUGAAACAAACCAAGGUAAAUGAGCUAUAAGUUACAGUUACACACACUAGUAUAUAAUUAUUUUUGGAGUCAGCACUUCUUUGUACAAAAAUAAAGCUUUAAAUGUGUCGAGACUAACUAAAUAAAUAAAUAUAAUGUAUUCACAGAUCAUGAUGACAACAGUAUAGAAGAUGAGCGUUUGGAUAGGAUAGAAGAGGAUGUGCAGCGACUCUUUCUUGGUCUUGACAAUCUCCGUGGUACAGUGACAGGCCUGGAGGACAGCUUGCGUGCUUCCCUCUAUGAAGACGCAAAUCGAAUGUUGACUGCUCUCAUUUCUGCAGGACCCAGCCCUCUCCCUGCUCGUUCCCAGUCCAGGGACUCUUCUGUGGGUUUCGGAGAUCUACCUGG
ensembl:lncRNA